CUAAUUUCCUUGACUCGCCAAACCUCUGGCCUACGCGCCUCUUUCGGACUCAGAAUACCAAUCCACCAUUUUGGAAAUCACUCUGUGCCUCACCUGCACCACACUCCAUCAGGACCCUCUGGAUCUCAGUGUGACUGCUAACUGCCCUGUUCCAGGCUGCAUCUCAGGUCCCCAUUUCCUCUCUCUAGUUCCACGUCCCAAUAGCCAUGCCACGACAAGUUCUACAUUUCAGUUCCUUUUGUUCUUGCCACAUUUUCUAAGACUAAGUCUAACCAAUAAAUAUAUUGUAAAACUA